rnacentral:lncRNA from 1 species
AUAACCUGGUCAGACUAGAAUUCACCAGGCUGGAAUUUCCCAAUCCUGGUAAGCCUGAGGGCACUGCAGGAGACCAGGGCGUAUUUCAUCCCUUAUCUUCAACCGCAUAAGACAGGCACUCCCAGAGCAGUCGUCGAUAGGCCUACCCCUGGGAAUGCAUUCCUUCCCCAGGGUUAUUCCUUGCUGGGAAAAGAAUUCAGCAAUAUUUCUCCUAUUUGCUUUCUGCAAGAAGGAAAAUAUGACUCUAUUCUGCCCAACCCCACAGGCAGUGAGACCUUAAGGUUAUCUUCCCUUGUUCCCUGAAGAUUGCUGUUGUUCUGUUCUUUUUCAGGGUGCCCUGAUUUCAUAUCAUUCAAACACACAUUUUACAAACAAUUUGUACAGUUAAUGCAAUCAUCACAGGGUCCUGAGGCGACAUACAUCCUCAGCUUACAAAGAUGACGGGAUUAAGAGAUUAAAGUAAAGACAGGCAUAGGAAAUUAUAAGAGUAUUGAUUGGGGAAGUGACAAAUGUCCAGGAAGUCUUCACAAUUUAUAUUCAGAGACUGCAGUAAAGACAGGCGUAAGAAAUUAUAAAAGUAUUAAUUUGGGGAACUGAUAAAUGUCCAUGAAAUCUUCACAAUUUAUGUUCUUCUGCCACAGCUUCAGCCGGUCCCUGCAUUCGGGGUCCCUGACUUCCUGCAACAGACACCUUGAUGUCUCCCUUCUCCUUCCCCAUUCUGUCCAAUCUCAUCUGUUUAUUCAGCGAACACUUACUGAGCACCCCGGCACUGUAAAGGAGCUAGGGAUGAACAGGUGAAUAAGACAGGCUGUUUGGGAGGUUAGGCGCAGUGAGGAAGCCAGGCAAUCACAGUGAAAAUAAAUGGGGUGAGGACAGCUUGGGAUACAGAGUUUGAAAGAAACAAGCAGGAUGCUGUGAUAGGAGCAAGGGAGUUACUUCCGACAGGGGGCAGGGAUGGUGUCUCCAAGGAAGUGACAUUUACGCUAGAUCUGAAUAUCGAGAAGGAGCCAGCUGUAAUGAGUUGAAAGAAGGGCAUUCCAGGAAGAGGGAAGGAAAACACAAAGCUGAGGGGUGAGACAGAAAUAAGAGUGUUCCAGAGCCUGGUGCA